rnacentral:rRNA from 1 species
AUUGAACGCUGGCGGCAUGCUUUACGCAUGCAAGUCGAACGGUAACAGGCCUUCGGGUGCUGACGAGUGGCGAACGGGUGAGUAAUGCAUCGGAACGUACCCAGAGGUGGGGGAUAACGCAGCGAAAGCUGUGCUAAUACCGCAUGUGAUCUGAGGAUGAAAGCGGGGGACCGAGCAGCAAUGUUUGGCCUCGCGCCUUUGGAGCGGCCGAUGUCGGAUUAGCUAGUUGGUGGGGUAAAGGCCUACCAAGGCGACGAUCCGUAGCUGGUCUGAGAGGACGACCAGCCACACUGGGACUGAGACACGGCCCAGACUCCUACGGGAGGCAGCAAUGGGGAAUUUUGGACAAUGGGCGCAAGCCUGAUCCAGCAAUGCCGCGUGCGGGAAGAAGGCCUUCGGGUUGUAAACCGCUUUUGGCAGGAACGAAACGGUGUCCGCUAAUACCGGGCGCUAAUGACGGUACCUGCAGAAUAAGCACCGGCUAACUACGUG